rnacentral:rRNA from 1 species
UACGUAGGGUGCGAGCGUUGUCCGGAAUUAUUGGGCGUAAAGAGCUCGUAGGCGGUUUGUUACGUCUGCUGUGAAAUCCCGAGGCUCAACCUCGGGCCUGCAGUGGGUACGGGCAGACUGGAGUGCGGUAGGGGAGAAUGGAAUUCCUGGUGUAGCGGUGGAAUGCGCAGAUAUCAGGAGGAACACCGAUGGCGAAGGCAGUUCCCUGGGCCGUAACUGACGCUGAGGAGCGAAAGCGUGGGGAGCGAACAGG